rnacentral:rRNA from 1 species
UGGGGAAUAUUGCACAAUGGGCGCAAGCCUGAUGCAGCCAUGCCGCGUGUAUGAAGAAGGCCUUCGGGUUGUAAAGUACUUUCAGUCGGGAGGAAGGUGGUAAGGUUAAUAACCUUGGCAAUUGACGUUACCGACAGAAGAAGCACCGGCUAACUCAGUGCCAGCAGCCGCGGUAAUACGGAGGGUGCAAGCGUUAAUCGGAAUUACUGGGCGUAAAGCGCACGCAGGCGGUUGAUUGAGUCAGAUGUGAAAUCCCCGGGCUUAACCCGGGAAUUGCAUCUGAUACUGGUCAGCUAGAGUCUUGUAGAGGGGGGUAGAAUUCCAUGUGUAGCGGUGAAAUGCGUAGAGAUGUGGAGGAAUACCGGUGGCGAAGGCGGCCCCCUGGACAAAGACUGACGCUCAGGUGCGAAAGCGUGGGGAGCAAACAGG